rnacentral:rRNA from 1 species
GGAGUCUGGGCCGUGUCUCAGUCCCAAUGUGGCCGAUCGACCUCUCAGUCCGGCUACCGAUCGUCGGCAUGGUGAGCCGUUGCCUCACCAUCUACCUAAUCGGACGCGAGCCCAUCUCUCAGCGAUAAAUCUUUGAUGUUUUCGUCAUGCGGCAAAAACAUGUCAUGAGGUAUUAUCAAUCGUUUCCAACUGUUAUCCCUCUCUGAGGGGCAGGUUGCUCACGUGUUACUCACCCGUCCGCCACUAAGUCUGCUGAAUCGUCAUUCCGAAGAAAUCAGUCUCAGCAGCUUCGUUCGACUUGCAUGUGUUAGGCACGCCGCCAGCGUUCGUCCUGAGCCACUGAUCAAACGUCUA